rnacentral:SRP_RNA from 1 species
GCUGGGCGUGGUGGCGGGUGCCUGUAAUCCCAGCUACUAGGGAGGCUGAGGUAGGAGAAUUGCUUGAACCCAGGAGAUGCAGGUUGCAGUGAGCUGAGAUGACGCCACUGCACCUCCAGCCUGGGCAACAGAGCAAGACUCUGUCUCAA